rnacentral:misc_RNA from 1 species
AACGCAUAUUGCGCCCGCCGGCACUCUGGCGGGCACGCCUGUUUGAGCGUCGUUUCACCACUCGGGCUUCGGUCCGGCGUCGUGGCGCUGCGGUCCUGCCCGCAGGCUCUAAGAUACAGUGGCGGACCAGCCGCGGGCCUGAGCGCAGUACAAGUCUCGCUCCGGAGACCGCAGCGUGGCCUUGCCUCGCCCAAAUAAAAUGGCACGCUCGACGUGUCAUCCCACUGUCGACCUCGAAUCAGGCGGGACUACCCGCUGAACUUAA